rnacentral:rRNA from 1 species
CAGCAGCCGCGGUAAUACGGAGGGUGCAAGCGUUAUCCGGAUUUAUUGGGCGUAAAGGGCGCGUAGGUGGUUAUUUAAGUGAGAUGUGAAAGCCCCGGGCUUAACCUGGGAACUGCAUCUUAUACUGGGUAACUGGAGUGCAGUAGAGGGUAGUGGAAUUUCCGGUGUAGCGGUGAAAUGCGUAGAUAUCGGAAGGAACACCAGUGGCGAAGGCGGCUACCUGGACUGAGACUGACACUGAGGCGCGAGAGCGUGGGGAGCAAACAGGAUUAGAUACCCCCGUAGUCCCUGUCUCUUAUAC